rnacentral:tRNA from 1 species
GGAGGGAUGCGAGAGCGGCCGAAUCGGACGGUCUCGAAAACCGUUGUGGGUCCUGCCCACCGUGGGUUCGAAUCCCACUCCCUCCGCCA